AGAGCCCGGAGUGGGGCCGCGCCGCCCCUGGUGGCCCCUCCCAGCAGGCAGGGCCUGUGUUUAAGGUGUUGCCAGGCAACCUGCCACGUGGGGCUGGAGGCUGUGGUUGGGGCAAAGCGCCAGUAAUGGAGAAGCAGAGCCCAGCGCUUGGUGUGACGGGGUCCCAGGUAGUCGGAUCAUGAAUGGAAUGACACACUCUGAACCGAAGAGACCUUACAGAUCAUCUAGUUCUCCAGCCUUGAAGAUGGGGAAACUGAGGCUCAAGGAAGGCAUGUAAACAGCAACCUCGGGAUUCCAUUUAAAUUCUGCCUCUCUGGAUCUGCUUCCUGAUAUAUAAAAUGGUAAUAACCACCCUGCCUCCUUCACAGCUUUGUUGGUAGGCUUAAAUGAGGUUGUGUGAACAUGGUUUAUACAGUAAAAUCACAGCGUGAGGUGUUAAUCACGCAAAAAAGGACCUAGGAAAAAUACAAAGGCCGUAUCAGGAGAGCUGGACAGGCACUGGCAGUGUUAGCGCUGCCCUUCACAAGCAAUGUCAUGCAGACAGUGCACAAAACGCUGCCAUCAAGCUGAAGUGGAAAUAGGUAUCAGGGACCACAGAAAAGUCAGAAGGCAGGCAAACUGAGUUGAAGGAGCAUGUCCCUGAGAAUGUGUGGGGAUCUGCAAAUAGGAAAUGAGUCACACUUGACCCUCAGCCGCUUAGGACUCACUCUCCCAGCCUAACCUAUACUAGUGUUUUCUUUGAACAGAAAGAAAACAGUACAGCCAGUCUUGAUUUAAUUGUGGCACUUCCUAUAAUCUACCUAGUCCAAAACAACAACAAAAAAUUUCAAAGUUCAGUACAGUUCCCCAUGAAAUGAAAGUUGCAUCAGUGGCUAUCAAGAACUCAAAAGAAAAUACAAACAUUAAGUCUGGCAAGGAUUUAUUAGGAAGCUUAUUAGUCACAGUGAAUAAAAGCCAUGAAAA
rnacentral:lncRNA from 1 species